GUACUGUGCAGCAUGCUUUACUCUGCUGCUGAUUCAGUCACGUUGGUGUAAUGGAAGAUCAGGAGAUUGAAGCUCCUUACGAGGACCCGGGGGCUGCUCCAUAUGGGAACUUCCCUAAUUAUUAUAGUUUUAAUCCGCCGGAGAACCGUGUUAGCCUCCUACCUCCAGGGAAGCUUCGGAGCCUGCUCCACAGAUCAUGUGAAGCCCCAAUCAUGUGUCUGGACGUUGGAUGUAACUCAGGAGUGAGUGGUUUAAUUAUGUUUUAAUUGAGCUUCGUU